UACGGGGGGAGCAAGCGUUGUUCGGAUUUACUGGGCGUAAAGAGCGCGUAGGCGGCCAGAUAAGUCCGGUGUGAAAGUCAAAGGCUCAACCUUUGAAUGCCGCUGGAAACUGUCUGGCUAGAGUCCGGGAGGGGCGAGUGGAAUUCCUGGUGUAGCGGUGAAAUGCGCAGAUAUCAGGAGGAACACCAAUGGCGAAGGCAGCUCGCUGGAACGGUACUGACGCUGAGGCGCGAAAGCGUGGGGAGCGAACAGG
rnacentral:rRNA from 1 species